rnacentral:rRNA from 1 species
GACGAACGCUGGCGGCGUGCUUAACACAUGCCAGUCGACCGGUGAAGCGCCUUCCUUUUUGGUGGGUGUGGAUGAGUGGCGAACGGGUGAGUAACACGUGAGUAACCUGCCCCCUUCUUCUGGAUAACCGCAUGAAAGUGUGGCUAAUACAGGAUAUUCUGGGUCUGUCGCAUGAUGGGUCUGGGAAAGAUAUUGUUUCGGUGGGGGAUGGGCUCGCGGCUUAUCAGCUUGUUGGUGGGGUGAUGGCCUACCAAGGCGGUGACGGGUAGCCGGCAUGAGAGGGUGGGCGGCCAGAGGGGGGCUGAGACGCGGCCAAGACUCCGACGGGAGGCAGCAGUGGGGAUUAUUGCACAGGGGGCGCAAGGCUGAUGCAGCGACGCGGCGUGAGGGAUGGAGGCCUGCGGGUUGUGAACCUCUUUCGGGGGUGAAGCGGGCCUGCCUCGUUUGUGGGUGGGUUGACGGUAGCUGGAUAAGAAGCGCCGGCUAACUACGUG